GUUGGUUGGAGAGUUAGGUAGUUGAGACGAUUGCCUGAUUAAGUUGCUAACUUUGAACUAAGCUACAGAAAAAAUGUGCAACAAACGAAAAUGUUUUAAGAAAAAAACGACAUUGAUCAUAUCAAAAAUCCAGCUUCUCCAUCGACGGGGACAGGUCAUUUAAAAAACUAAAGCAGAUACGCGGUUUCGGCCCACGGUUACGCAAUAAAGUCAAAACAGAAACCGCAUGUUGCUUCGGCUGACCAUACCAUCUUUGACGCCCUCAUCACAACCAUAAAAGGGUCAAUUCUGUGUGUCACUGAGUUCCUUGGAGCUCUCAUCCAAGACCUGCAGUUUUCUGUGUUCCUUAGCUUUGUGGUUCUUACUGUGUUCUCCAUCCUGGUCUUGGUAUACUUUCGACGCAGGUGCAAGGACCCACCUCCCCCUGCAGGACUCCAGCCCCUGCCUACUUCCCUGGGUCAACAGAAGAACCAGAUAAUGAGGGAGAAUGUAGUACCUCAGGACCUCACAGCUCAAGUGGACCCUCUUAGGCACAGGAGGCCUUGUAGAGUCAGAGAGCAACCGAAAACGGUUUCUGUGGAGCAACUUGGUCUGAGUGAGGUUGACUCAGAGAGGCGGGAGGCUGUCUGUGACAAGUUCUGUGAUGUGGAGGGGAAAAAAACUCAAAGCGAGGAAGCAAAAGAAUCCCAUGAGGAGGAUGUAGGAGUUGUCUCUAGCAGUGACUCACAGGUAAAAGCCUUUCAAAAUAAAGAUAAAGU